rnacentral:rRNA from 1 species
UGGGGAAUUUUGGACAAUGGGCGAAAGCCUGAUCCAGCAAUGCCGCGUGUGUGAAGAAGGCCUUCGGGUUGUAAAGCACUUUUGUCCGGAAAGAAAUCCUUGGCUCUAAUACAGUCGGGGGAUGACGGUACCGGAAGAAUAAGCACCGGCUAACUACGUGCCAGCAGCCGCGGUAAUACGUAGGGUGCAAGCGUUAAUCGGAAUUACUGGGCGUAAAGCGUGCGCAGGCGGUUUGCUAAGACCGAUGUGAAAUCCCCGGGCUCAACCUGGGAACUGCAUUGGUGACUGGCAGGCUAGAGUAUGGCAGAGGGGGGUAGAAUUCCACGUGUAGCAGUGAAAUGCGUAGAGAUGUGGAGGAAUACCGAUGGCGAAGGCAGCCCCCUGGGCCAAUACUGACGCUCAUGCACGAAAGCGUGGGGAGCAAACAGGAUUAGAUACCCUGGUAGUCCACGCCCUAAACGAUGUCAACUAGUUGUCGGGUCUUCAUUGACUUGGUAACGUAGCUAACGCGUGAAGUUGACCGCCUGGGGAGUACGGUCGCAAGAUUAAAACUUAAAUGAAUUGACGGGGUCAUAGCUGUUUCCU